AAAGAAAUGCUUUCAUUGUGCAUCCAAAUUUGAUGAAACUGCUGAUCAAUACUCAUCUACUGACAAAGAGGGAAGCCACGACCUACUGACUCAGGUGUUCCUGGCUGUGGAAAAUGUCUCUGACGAACUGCAGGGAAUGAAAAGAUCUGUGACGUUCCUGAGCAACAAAAUGGAGAAAAAGCCCAGCUACUGGGCAGGAAUUGCGAAAAAAAUUGACAAGAUGUUUACAUAUUUUUAUGUAACCACUGUGUUUGUGUUUUUAUUUGUUAUCUUCACUGUGUGGCUCUCAUAAUCAGAUAAAUGGAGGAAAGCUCUUAAACAUGUUCACAUUGGUGAUGUAUAACAUAAGUGUGAAUUUGGGUGCAAUUUUUCAAACAAUCAGUCACUUCUAUUGUUUUUAACUUGAUUGAUAAAUUUGAUGAAGAGCAUUUCAUUGUCUUUUAUUGCUGGUUGUCAUGUUGAGACGCCAUUUGCUUGAUAGCAGAAGUUAAAAAAGUUCAUGGAGGAUAAGAGGAGUCUGACAGUGUUCAAAACUGUAUUAAUGCAAUGUCUUUGAAUUAGUUUCUAGACUAUUGGAUCACUCCUGUUACAUUAUCAGGUAAUCUGCAGGAUCCUUCUGUCUGCCGUACUGAAGCACCAGGCUUUGAUGCAGGACAUAUUAUUUCAAACUGUAGAGGGAAGUUUGAUGUGAUACUUCUUAAUUCAAAUUAACUCAAACUCUGGUUAUGCAUGCAGCAAUAAAUAAAUAAACAUCAUUAUUUAAUUUCCCUUUAUGAUCAGUAAAGUAUUUUUGACUUCUUGGAUCUCAAGGAACUUUUACAAAUAUGUCAGAUUCAUACAGAGUUACAGUCUAUGUUUCAUUUAGCACAUAUUCAGCUAAAAAAGUCUCUGCAUAUGUAUUUAGAGUUUUAAAGCAACACAACUGUGUAUGUAUAACUUACUGGGUAUCAUUUUGAACUGUUACCUGCAUGAAAAUACCAAUAUUUUGCUCUACCUAUUUCUUAUUACAUUUUUAGAAUAUUUUAAUCAUAAUUUAUAUAAAUUAAACAUCUACUUAAGCAAUUAGAUCAUAUAAAAGGUCUAGAUAUGUUAUGGUAACUGUUUAUCCAACUCAUAAUAAAAUGCAUGUGUAUAAAAUACAUGACAGGCAUGAUUCAAUUUAAGCCAUGAAUGUGAAUUUAGUUUAUGACCAUGAAACUGCAAUGAAGGGCAACUGAGAAUAAACAAGCAGGCAGACAAAAAUAUAUCAAUAUAAUAAAGGUUUGUUGCAAAUGUGUACAUUUUUGAAUUUGAAGAGAAUGUCGUCUGAUCUAAGAUAACUGAGUGGGAAAAUCAAUCAAUAAAGGUUCAUUCUCAAAUGUUUGCUUUAA